UACAGAGGUCCCAAGCGUUGUUCGGAUUCACUGGGCGUAAAGGGUGCGCAGGUGGGUUUGCAAGUUCGAUGUGAAAGCCCCGGGCUUAACCCGGGAAUGGCAUUGGAUACUGCAGAUCUGGAGGAUCGGAGGGGGGACUGGAAUUCUUGGUGUAGCAGUGAAAUGCGUAGAUAUCAAGAGGAACACCAGUGGCGAAGGCGAGUCCCUGGACG
rnacentral:rRNA from 1 species